GAUGGCCCGCAACCAGUUUGACCGGCGAACAUGUUUCACUGACCCACAGGGGCUGGCAUGAUCUCAUCCUCCCCCUGUGUCGGGAGGCGGCCGAGCACCGCGCGGCUUCCUCUCGGCAGACCCAAACCCCGGCGCUUCGUGCGCCAAGGAAUCCAAAAAAUGUUCAGUGCGGGCCCCGGGGAGCUGGAGACAGCGCCCCGCGGGUCUCGUCACCACACACGAAAGAAGAAUGACUCUCGGCAAUGGAUAUCUCGGCUCUUGCAUCGAUGAAGAACGUAGCGAAAUGCGAUACUUGGUGUGAAUUGCAGAAUCCCGUGAACCAUCGAGUCUUUGAACGCAAGUUGCGCCCGAAGCCAUUAGGCCGAGGGCAUGCCUGCCUGGGUGUCACACAUUGUUACCCCCCACGCAAAUGGCCACCGUCAGCCGGUGCGUGGUGUGUGCACGGUGACCUCCCGCGGGCCGUGUCUCGCGGUUGGUUGAAAAUCGGGUUCGCGGUCGGGCGCGCCGUGAUAAAAUGGUGGACGGGCAACGCCCGAGGCCAAUCACGUGCGGUCGUGUCCGGUUUGACCCUUGGGCCCCUGCGGCGUCUCGGGACGC
rnacentral:rRNA from 1 species